UUCAAACCCUAGUGAAACUUCAUCUUCACAGAAAUCUCUUAAUCCUCUUCAAUAACCUUCGAUCAUCGACUUAUCUUCUCAUUUUUCAUUUUCUUUCUUUCUCCUUUUCUCCUUCCGCCUCUCAUUCUCUUCCUCUUAGAUUUUACAGAUUCGAUUGGGUUAAUCAUCUGUUCGAUUGGUUAAAAUUUCUGGUGAUAACCCCGAAAUCAAAACCUUUAUUUCUUAACCCAUAUAUCCAAAUCGAAACCCACACCAGAAAUGUCGAUCUAUCAUAUAUUUACUUGAAAUAUUUGUAACCCUAGAUCGAUUUUGUUCCUGAGAUUUAAAAUUCUAAUCAUCUGAUAAGUGUUUGUGUAACAGUUUGUUGAUUAUCAUCAUCUAAUAGGUGAUUUGUAACAGUUUGUUGAUUAUCAUCUGCUAUAAACAAUCAACUUCUACUAGUUUGAUUUGAUUUUGUUUGUUUGUUUUUUAUUUUGUCCCAACUCUGUGAAUAGUGUAGAGUUAGGGGUUUUAUUUGGAGGAGUAUAAAUUUGUAGAAGAAGAAGAGGAUUUGAAGGUUGAGAAAAAAGAAGAGAAGAUGGAUAAUGGUGCUGGUUGGAAGAGUAAAAGAAGAGAGGAUUUGGUCAAGUAUAUGUUGGUAGAAGGGUUUCAGGUGGAAGUGGGACUUCUGGUCCGACUGCUGUAGAGGUGGCUUUAAAGUUUGCGCAUAGAACUAGUAAAGGAUGUAACUAUGGACCUCUGUAUGAGUGGCAGGUCUACAAAAUAAUUACGAUUUUUACAACUACGGCAGGUACGUGCAUGGGGAUGUAAAGUCAGAGAACUCUUUGCUUGGAACCCCAUCCAGGCACUCAAAUUUUACUGUUAUCAGCUACUAGGUGGCGAGAUACUUCAACUGGUUAACAUGUGGAGUAUGAUCAGCGACCAGAUAUAUUCAGGUGCAUUGUCAUAUAAAGCUUAUUUAUUUUCUUCUUGUGAGGCUUUCUCAGCACAUUGACAAAGGAAAUGAAGAUGGAUUGUAUAUCAGUUCUGUAGCUUCUUUUUCAAACCUUUGGGCAUUGAUUAUGGACGCUGGUACUGGUUUCAGUUCCCAAAUAUACGAGCUCUCACCUGAUUUUCUUCACAAAGUGAGUUCUUUCUAUACCAUAUUUCAGAGCUUAGGUAAAUUUCUCCUUUUUAGUGUCAAAGGCGACAUUCUAACCCUUUCCCUGGCUCUUCUUAUUCCUAAAAAGGUUAGGGUUUUUAAUUUUUUUUUUGAUUUUUUUCAGCUGUAGAUUACAUUGUUCGGUGAAAAUUACUGAAAUCUCUUGUUGAUUUGUUGAAUUGUUGUUGUAAAUUACGAUGAAAGGUUCACCGGCGUAUAAAAUUGAGAAAAAGUUGGGUAAAAGAGGAUUUGGUUUGUUGCAGGACCAAAGAUAGUGCCAACUUAUGAAGCUUCAUCUUACCUAGUUGCAGUUAACUAGUUAAGUAUCUUUGUCUUUCUUAAUUUCAUAUUCUAUACUGCCAGAAUAUAGAUGAAUGACUAGGAGUGAUGCUCUUAAAACUCUUGACCUGCAAAUUAACAAAGCAAUAUGAACAUCUUGCUUAGCCAGGGGAAAGAUCUAUUCAAAUAACCUUGUUAGUGCCAGUUUAGCUGGACAUCUAUUAUUCAAUCUCAAAUGCUUGGCCAGGGAGUUUCAUGUUCGCUGCUUCCUAAGGACUUGAACAAUUAAUCAUUCCUGCCUUAACUCUACUAGAACUGAAGCUGUCUGUUCAAGGACAACCUUGGCAUGGUCUGAGAAGUGGUUCUGACACAUACAUGUUAAUGUUGAUAUGCACGGCACUCUAAGAAGAGAAAUAUGCUUCCCGGAGAGGGAUUCUCCCUAUGCUUCAAGCCGAAGAGGAUGAAAGAUUCGCCAGCCAAUGAAAAAAGUAUUUAAACUAGAGGAAGAAGCGAGAAUCAUGACGGAUGUUCCACGCUGGAAGGUCGGUGAAAGCGUUUCACACUCUCCUGGUGUCUGGAUUGCCUACAUCGAGUUUUCUUAUGCCCAAUCUUUCAACAAAGCAAGCCUGCAAAGGAUAUAAAGCUUAGUUGUUCUAUUUCAUCAGAAAGGGUGGAGAACAAAGUAGCUUCAAGGUUUGUAAGUUCCAUGUAUUCAAAUUUUCUAGGCAGUUAGUAAGUUUGUAUGUGUUCCCUUAGAAAUUUGGAACCUUCCAUGUAUUCCUUUAUAAAUUCGAUACUUAACAAAAAAAAAAAGUUUGCUACUUGG